GACAGAGGGUGCAACCGUUGUUCGGAUUUACUGGGCGUAAAGCGCGUGUAGGCGGCUUGGCAAGUCGGCUGUGAAAGCCCACGGCUCAACCGUGGAAGCGCACCCGAAACGGCCUCGCUCGAGUCUCGGAGAGGAAGGUGGAAUGCUUGGUGUAGAGGUGAAAUUCGUAGAUAUCAGGAAGAACACCCGUGGCGAAGGCGGCUCACUGGUCCAUUACUGACGCUGAGGUGCGAAAGCGUGGGGAGCAAACAGG
rnacentral:rRNA from 1 species